GACGAACGCUGGCGGCGUGCCUAAUACAUGCCAGUUGAGCGCUGAAGGUUGGUACUUGUACCAACUGGAUGAGCAGCGAACGGGUGAGUAACGCGUGGGGAAUCUGCCUUUGAGCGGGGGACAACAUUUGGAAACGAAUGCUAAUACCGCAUAAAAACUUUAAACACAAGUUUUAAGUUUGAAAGAUGCAAUUGCAUCACUCAAAGAUGAUCCCGCGUUGUAUUAGCUAGUUGGUGAGGUAAAGGCUCACCAAGGCGAUGAUACAUAGCCGACCUGAGAGGGUGAACGGCCACAUUGGGACUGAGACACGGCCCAAACUCCUACGGGGGGCAGCAGUAGGGAAUCUUCGGCCAUGGACGAAAGUCUGACCGAGCAACGCCGCGUGAGUGAAGAAGGUUUUCGGAUCGUAAAACUCUGUUGGUAGAGAAGAACGUUGGUGAGAGUGGAAAGCUCAUCAAGUGACGGUAACUACCCAGAAAGGGACGGCUAACUACGUG
rnacentral:rRNA from 1 species